AGAAGCUUAGGUUACACCUAAACCAGAGGCCUUCAAAGCCCCAAACAAGACUCAACAUCUUAGCUUCUG
rnacentral:tRNA from 1 species